AGUGGGCAGGGGCCGGGGACGCUAAACCUGCAAUGCUCAGGAAGAUCCUACCCCAGUGCCAAUAGCACCCUCCUGCAGAAACACCAGUAGAUGGUCUCUUAGGGUUCCAGCAAUUAAUUCAGUGACUUUAUGGUUUUGUCUCUCCCUAUACGUCCUUUUAUGCUUCUUACUCUCUGGGGGAGUGAAAUCUGUUUCUCCUGAAUACUUUCCUGUCUCUCUGUCACAAGAGACCAGAGCUCCCUUUUGGUGGAAACUGAUCUAAACCAUAGAAGGGUCACUUUGGACCUCGGGACUGUUGCUGUAGUCCCUUCUUGCUUUCAGCAGCCGCAGUGACCAGCAUCAGCCUGGUACAUCCCCCAGGUACUGUGUAUAAAGCUCGUAAUAGCCUAUAAUGGAGUCUCAUGGAUAUUACAUGCUUCCAAAUCCCACAUUAUCUGGUUGGGGGGAUUAAAGAGAAGAUUGGGAGGGGGUAGGGACACAGCAGGCCCCAGGGCCGGUGUCAGUACACAGAGCCGCGCAGCGUGGCCAAUCCAUUGGCCACGGCCCCCGCCUACCCGGCAUCCACCACUGGUGAGAAAGCAGUGAGAGCCUCUGCCUCUUCAAAGCUUAGCAGAGGAAAGAUGCUGUCGAAUCCCCACUCGUCAGCCGGGUCCUUUCCCCGUGGCCCCCAAAAGGACUUCAGAUGGGUUCUCAGGGAAUGAAAACUUGCCUGGCAGACUUCUCAGUGGAGAGGAUAAUUCAGAAGUCAUGCAAGGAUAUGUUCUUGAGCCCUUUCUACCCUCUGGGGCUGUGGCUGGGGAGAAUUCUGGGAAAGACCUGGCUGAACCCUCACCUCCGCGGUUACAAUGUCAGAUCCCUGGCUCAGAAAUGUCAGAGCAACGUAUUCCAACCCCUGCCUGCAACAGAGCAACCUCCGUCUCUCAGUCUCUCCCCGUCUCUCGGUCUCUCCCCGUAGACUGGGAGACUCAGUCACUUUCUUUCCUCCCUUCCUCUCUCCCACCCUCCCUCCCUUUCUUCCCUCUUUCUUCCCUUGAAGUAAGAAGCCCUCUUACAGGAAUGUACUGUAUGGGGAAAACAAACUCAUGCCAAGACAACGGGCAAAUCAGUCGAAUUAUGAAACGCUGAGUGAUGUUCUAAUUCCCAAGCCAUCCUGCGGUGGAUGAAGCGGGCGCUCCCGUCCCUAGGAGUAAUCAGUGAGCUGAUUCCGCCGAUGCGUUUGGGAAAUUCUCAUUUUCCGUGGAUCACAGCUGAGCUAUUUGGCCUGAGGGAAACCGCGCACGGCUGGAGAAAUGCCUCCGAUUGGAGAGAGAGAUUUUUGACCAUUAUGAGCAAAUCGGAAAUAAAUGUAAAACACUGCCUGGAAAUGCAAAGGCCUGUCAUUAUGGGAGAUAGGUGAGAGGCUCCUGUGGGAAAUGCUUAGAGAAUUGGAAAUCAGUCAGUCAAAACCAGGAUCAGAGAAUGGGCCUUUUCCCCCCAGUAUGAAGAUAGAUGACUUCCAUGGGCGGAUUGAAAAUCAUUUAAAUGCUUAUUUUCUUAAUGGCUUUUCCUAGAUCCCAAUAAACAGACCGGCUAGUUCUGCAUCAAUUUCUCACCCCUGUGCUCUGGGUCUCCCUGUGCUCUUUCUGCUCAGAUCUAGGCUACAAAGUUAGGGGAGGGGAGGCAUGAGAGGAGACAAGGCCGUCGCAAGG